CUUACCGCGUAGGUCGCUAAAUGCCUGGGUGAUCGUCCGCAGCGGUCGCCCGCCGCGCCCCGAGUCUUUGUUCCCUGGCAGGCGCGGGCGCACUAGGGAGGGUCAGCGCGAGGAGGACGGCGCAGGGAAUGGGCAGGGGGCGCGCGGUGCCGGCAGCGGCACUUGGGCAGGCAAGGAUCGCGGCAAUCGGAAUAGGACGGGUCCGGGAAGCGGCAAUCGCGACGCAGUCUUGCGGGUUCUAGGGGCGCGAGUUGGGAACCCUCUCCCACCCGAAACCCCGUCAGACUUACCUGCAGCAGCACGCGGAAGAUGUACCAGCCGAUGAUGAGCAGUUCAGCCGAGGCCGCCGCCACUGCCGCCAUGGUUCCAAGAAUGGAUCCCUGCUGCCUUGGUGAUCCCGGGCUGACAGCCAGAGAGCACAGCGGCUCAGCUCCUGGAGAGUGAGGGUUGAAGAAAGCGGAGGGCAGCCGCCUGCGCCCGCUGGCUCCCAUUAGGUCGGUUCCUGCAGCGGUGCCCGGCAGCCUUGGUGAAGGCCCUGCCCGGCAGAGAUCAUGUAUUGCCUCCAGUGGCUG
rnacentral:lncRNA from 1 species